rnacentral:rRNA from 1 species
CCUACGGGAGGCUGCAGUAGGGAAUCUUCCACAAUGGGCGAAAGCCUUAUGGAGCAACGCCGCGUGGGUGAAGAAGGUCUUCGGAUCGUAAAACCCUGUUGUUAGAGAAGAAAGUGCGUGAGAGUAACUGUUCACGUUUCGACGGUAUCUAACCAGAAAGCCACGGCUAAAUACGUGCCAGCAGCCGCGGUAAUACGUAGGUGGCAAGCGUUAUCCGGAUUUAUUGGGCGUAAAGGGAACGCAGGCGGUUUUUUAAGUCUGGUGUGAAAGCCUUAGGGUUAACCGAAGGCGUGCAUUGGAAACUGGUAGACUUGAGUGCAGAAGAGGGGAGUGGAAUUCCAUGUGGAGCGGUGAAAUGCGUAGAUAUAUGGAAGAACACCAGUGGCGAAAGCGGCUCUCUGGGCUGUAACUGACGCUGAGGUUCGAAAGCGUGGGUAGCAAACAGGAUUAGAUACCCUUGUAGUC